GACCUGGUGGCGAGAGGUAUCGCACCCGCACGACACAUGUCUUUGUUGUUGAAAAGUAUUGCAUACCUGCGGGGAACCCUGGUUCGAAUCCAGGUCAGGUCA